AGUGAACGCUGGCGGUAGGCCUAACACAUGCAAGUCGAACGGCAGCACAGUAAGAGCUUGCUCUUACGGGUGGCGAGUGGCGGACGGGUGAGGAAUACAUCGGAAUCUACUUUUUCGUGGGGGAUAACGUAGGGAAACUUACUCUAAUACCGCAUACGACCUACGGGUGAAAGCAGUGGAUCUUCGGACCUUGCGCGAUUGAAUGAGCCGAUGUCGGAUUAGCUAGUUGGCGGGGUAAAGGCCCACCAAGGCGACGAUCCGUAGCUGGUCUGAGAGGAUGAUAAGCCACACUGGAACUGAGACACGGUCAAGACGACUACGGGAGGGAGCAGAGGGGAAUAUUGGACAAUGGGGGCAAGCCUGAUACAGCCAUACCGCGUGGGUGAAGAAGGCCUUCGGGUUGUAAAGACCUUUUGUUGGGAAAGAAAAGCAGCAGGUUAAUACCCCGCUGUUCUGACGGUACCCAAAGAAUAAGCACCGGCUAACUUCGUG
rnacentral:rRNA from 1 species